UAUUGGUUGUGUUGAAUCUGAGAGGAAAAUCAUCUGGUGUUGGCAUACCGAGCUCCGUGGGAGACGUUUCCAAGUUCUGUCUGGGUUGGAGUCCUAGUAUCUGGACUGGAGUCCCAGAGAACGGACCAAGUUCCUUUAGGUCGGGUUGGAGUCCCGACUUGGGUUCCAGAGAGACUGUUGAUCUGAUCUUAAAUACAUUGCACUUUCAAUUUUACUUACUAAAAAGCCUUUUUAACUUUCAAUUAAAUUUUCUAUUUUUACCAGAAAGAUACAUGAUCUGAUACCAGUGAGAAAGGAUAAGGGUUACUAGAAUCCGGAAACGCUGUAGUACACAUGCCAGGCCCAUAAGGGGCGCUGCUUCUGCUACAGAAAUCCAGAAGAAAAUGAAAUAAGAAGAAGAGGCGACCAUGCGCAUAAAGGCUGCCCCCCGAACCACUAACAACACAAACAAACAGUCAGUCAACAGUCUCAAUAAAUAAUGGCUUAGCAACCCAACAAGGGACAUGAUCUGCUGCAGAACGAUUACAAGCCUGUAGUCCGCCAUCAUCUUUGUUGUUGUGAGUUCUGAGACUCCGCGGGCUUAACAGUCAUUGGCUAGAGUCAGAGGUUUAACAACAAUGGACAACAACACAGAGAACACAGUUCGCACUUUGCUGAGCCUGUUGCUUAUUUGGAGCCGAAAUGCCGAAAUGGCUAACAGACACUCGACUUCUCUAUGGGACCAACGUGAACCAACAGUUGAACCGCUUGACGCCAUGUUUACUGUUUAAUGGGAAAGAAGGCUCGUCGCCUUUAUUAUGUCCAUGGUCGUCGCAUGGACUAUACGUCAUCCAGCUCAGGUUGCGUAGCCGUGCGUGUGCGCGUGUCGGCUCAUUAGCAUCUGUACCGUAGCGGCCCGUA